GGGGAAUAUUGCGCAAUGGGGGAAACCCUGACGCAGCAAUACCGCGUGAGUGAAGAAGGUUUUCGGAUCGUAAAGCUCUGUUAUUGGGGAAGAAAAAAAGACGGUACCCAAGAAGAAAGUCCCGGCUAACUACGUGCCAGCAGCCGCGGUAAUACGUAGGUGGCGAGCGUUGUCCGGAAUUACUGGGCGUAAAGGGUGUGCAGGCGGAUAUUUAAGUGAGAUGUGAAAGACCCGGGCUUAACCCGGGCAGUGCAUCUAAUACUGGGAGGCUAGAGUGCAGGAGAGGGAAGCGGAAUUCCUAGUGUAGCGGUGAAAUGCGUAGAUAUUAGGAGGAACACCAGUGGCGAAGGCGGCUUUCUGGACUGUAACUGACACUGAGGCACGAAAGCGUGGGGGGCAAACA
rnacentral:rRNA from 2 species